GAGUUUGAUCCUGGCUCAGGAUGAACGCUAGCGGCAGGCUUAACACAUGCAAGUCGAGGGGUAACGGGGAAGCUUGCUUCCGCCGACGACCGGCGCACGGGUGCGUAACGCGUAUACAAUCUACCUUGUACUGGGGUAUAGCCUUUAGAAAUGAAGAUUAAUCCCCCAUAGUCUCUUAGAGUGGCAUCACUUCUAGAGUAAAGGUUACGGUAUAAGAUGAGUAUGCGUUCUAUUAGUUUGUUGGUGUGGUAACGGCACACCAAGACUACGAUAGAUAGGGGCCCUGAGAGGGGGAUCCCCCACACUGGUACUGAGACACGGACCAGACUCCUACGGGAGGCAGCAGUGAGGAAUAUUGGACAAUGGAGGCAACUCUGAUCCAGCCAUGCCGCGUGCAGGAAGACUGCCCUAUGGGUUGUAAACUGCUUUUAUACAGGAAGAAACACCUCUACGUGUAGAGGCUUGACGGUACUGUAAGAAUAAGGAUCGGCUAACUCCGUGCCAGCAGCCGCGGUAAUACGGAGGAUCCAAGCGUUAUCCGGAAUCAUUGGGUUUAAAGGGUCCGUAGGUGGAUAAUUAAGUCAGAGGUGAAAUCUUGCAGCUCAACUGUAAAAUUGCCUUUGAAACUGGUUAUCUUGAGUUAUUAUGAAGUAGUUAGAAUAUGUAGUGUAGCGGUGAAAUGCAUAGAUAUUACAUAGAAUACCAAUUGCGAAGGCAGAUUACUAAUAAUCAACUGACACUGAUGGACGAAAGCGUGGGUAGCGAACAGGAUUAGAUACCCUGGUAGUCCACGCCGUAAACGAUGGUUACUAGCUGUUUGGACUUCGGUCUGAGUGGCUAAGCGAAAGUGAUAAGUAACCCACCUGGGGAGUACGUUCGCAAGAAUGAAACUCAAAGGAAUUGACGGGGGCCCGCACAAGCGGUGGAGCAUGUGGUUUAAUUCGAUGAUACGCGAGGAACCUUACCAGGGCUUAAAUGUAAGUUGCAUUAGUUAGAGAUAGCUAUUUCUUCGGACCACUUACAAGGUGCUGCAUGGUUGUCGUCAGCUCGUGCCGUGAGGUGUCAGGUUAAGUCCUAUAACGAGCGCAACCCCUGUUGUUAGUUGCCAGCGAGUCAUGUCGGGAACUCUAACAAGACUGCCAGUGCAAACUGUGAGGAAGGUGGGGAUGACGUCAAAUCAUCACGGCCCUUACGUCCUGGGCUACACACGUGCUACAAUGGUAGGUACAGAGAGCAGCCACUGCGCGAGCAGGAGCGAAUCUAUAAAACCUAUCACAGUUCGGAUCGGAGUCUGCAACUCGACUCCGUGAAGCUGGAAUCGCUAGUAAUCGGAUAUCAGCCAUGAUCCGGUGAAUACGUUCCCGGGCCUUGUACUCACCGCCCGUC
rnacentral:rRNA from 1 species